GGCUCGGUAGUUCAGAUGGUUAGAACGCUAGCCUGUCACGCUAGAGGUCGUCGGUUCGAUCCCGAUCCGAGUCGCCA
rnacentral:tRNA from 1 species